CUUAAUGAGAGUUUGAUCCUAGCUCAGGAUGAAUGCUGGCUGUAUGGAUAAGGCAUGCAAGUCGAACGGACCGCAAGGUCAGUGGCAGACGAGGUAGUAACACGUAGGUACGUACUCCAAAGUCUGGUAUAGCUCGUCGAAAGACGGGGUAAUCCCGGAUGGUCCCGAAAGGGUAAAGAUUUAUCGCUUUGGAAGCGGCCUGCGUAGUAUCAGCUAGUUGGUAAGGUAACGGCUUACCAAGGCUACGACGCUUAGGGGAGCUGAGAGGCUGACCCCCACCGAUGGGACUGAGACACGGCCCAUACUCCUACGGGAGGCCGCAGUCGAGAAUCUUCCGCAAUGGACGAAAG
rnacentral:ncRNA from 1 species